rnacentral:misc_RNA from 1 species
GAUGAAGAACGCAGCGAAAUGCGAUAAGUAGUGUGAAUUGCAGAAUUCAGUGAAUCAUCGAAUCUUUGAACGCACAUUGCGCCCCUUGGUAUUCCAUGGGGCAUGCCUGUUCUAGCGUCAUUUGUACCUUCAAGCUCUGCUUGGUGUUGGGUGUUUGUCUCGCCUCUGCGUGUAGACUCGCCUCAAAACAAUUGGCAGCCGGCGUAUUGAUUUCGGAGCGCAGUACAUCUCGCGCUUUGCACUCAUAACGACGACGUCCAAAAGUACAUUUUUACACUCUUGACCUCGGAUCAGGUAGGGAUACCCGCUGAACUUAAGCAUAUCAAUAAGCGGAGGA